AGAGUUUGAUCCUGGCUCAGAACGAACGCUGGCGGCGUGCCUAACACAUGCAAGUCGAACGUGAUUGAGGUGCUUGCACCUCAUGAAAGUGGCGCACGGGUGAGUAACGCGUAGAUAAUCUACCUGAUGAUUCGGGAUAACACUUCGAAAGGGGUGCUAAUACCGAAUAAGCCCACGGAGUCCUUGGACACUGCGGGAAAAGGGGGGGACCUUCGGGCCUUCCGUCAUCAGAUGAGUCUGCGUACCAUUAGCUAGUUGGUAGGGUAAAGGCCUACCAAGGCGACGAUGGUUAGCUGGUCUGAGAGGAUGAUCAGCCACACUGGAACUGAGACACGGUCCAGACUCCUACGGGAGGCAGCAGUGGGGAAUUUUGCGCAAUGGGGGAAACCCUGACGCAGCAACGCCGCGUGAGUGAUGAAGGCCCUUGGGUCGUAAAGCUCUGACAGAGGGAAAGAAAUGUGCGGAGGCUAAUAUCCUUUGCACUUGACGGUACCCUCAAAGGAAGCACCGGCUAACUCCGUGCCAGCAGCCGCGGUAAUACGGGGGGUGCAAGCGUUGUUCGGAUUUAUUGGGCGUAAAGCGCGUGUAGGCGGUUUUUUAAGUCUGAUGUGAAAGCCCUGGGCUCAACCUGGGAAGUGCAUUGGAUACUGGAAGACUUGAAUACGGGAGAGGGCAGUGGAAUUCCUGGUGUAGGAGUGAAAUCCGUAGAUAUCAGGAGGAACACCGGUGGCGAAGGCGGCUGCCUGGACCGAUAUUGACGCUGAGACGCGAAAGCGUGGGUAGCAAACAGGAUUAGAUAC
rnacentral:rRNA from 1 species